GAAACUACCUGUGGGGGAGGGGGAGGGCGUGAACGAGCCGGCGCACGUGAUAGCGUCCGAGCCAAUGAGUGAGCCCUCGUCCGGCCCGUGGGAAGCCAUCUUGAGAGUGGGCCAGCCCCCCAUGCUGGGCUGCUUCUAAAGUCACAGAUAUAAGCCCUGCAUCUGGAGUCCAGAAGUCUGAGACUCAGCUCUACACAGGAAAUCUCUUUCCUGCCUCUCCCAGACUCUGGAGUUCCAGUGAUGGAGUUGCCUCGUCCCUGUAUGUGCCUGUUCUUGUGAGGGCCAGCCGUGAUAAUCUAAGUCUUGGGCAGAAAGGAAGUUCUUUACUUCCUCCAACCAUUAUCACCUGGGACUCUGGCCAUUGAUGAAUUUUAGUGAAGGCUGGAGGCUGGGUCUCAGUUGUUUACCCUGAGAUGAUGCGGGGCUGCAGGAGAAACUACAGGCUGAGAUCACCGGACCCUCACCCAAGAACAGACCAUUCAGAGGAAAUUUCUGGCAUUCCAAGUACUGUAGAUAGAAACACCUGCCAGUGCACAGUCACCAGGAAACCCUAGACCAAUAUCAGCCAAUCAGGGGUCUUAAAACCUCAGAAACCCCUCGCCCCCGACCUGUACUACUAUAAAACCCUAUUCUAAUUGAGCUCAGGGCUCUCCAGUUAUUCCAAUACGUUAGACGUGCGGAGAGACCGAGUUUACAAACUUGACUAAAAUAAAGGCUCUUUGUUUUUACAUAUGUGA